AACGAACGCUGGCGGCAUGCCUAACACAUGCCAGUCGAACGAGACCUUCGGGUCUAGUGGCGCACGGGUGCGUAACGCGUGGGAACCUGCCCUUAGGUUCGGAAUAACUCCCCGAAAGGGGUGCUAAUACCGGAUAAUGUCUUCGGACCAAAGAUUUAUCGACUUUGGAUGGGCCCGCGUUGGAUUAGCUGGUUGGUAGGGUAAAAGCCUACCAGGGCGACGAUCCAUAGCUGGUCUGAGAGGAUGAUCAGCCACACUGGGACUGAGACACGGCCCAGACUCCUACGGGAGGCAGCAGUGGGGAAUAUUGGACAAUGGGCGAGAGCCUGAUCCAGCAAUGCCGCGUGAGUGAUGAAGGCCUUAGGGUUGUAAAGCUCUUUUACCCGGGAUGAUAAUGACGGUACCGGGAGAAUAAGCUCCGGCUAACUCCGUG
rnacentral:rRNA from 1 species